rnacentral:snRNA from 1 species
AUCGCUUCUCGGCCUUUUGGCUAAGAUCAAGUGUAGUAUCAAAGACACACCACCAUCACCCUAC